rnacentral:rRNA from 1 species
UACAGAGGUCCCGAGCGUUGUUCGGAUUCACUGGGCGUAAAGGGUGCGUAGGUGGUUGGAUAAGUCUGAUGUGAAAUCUUCGAGCUCAACUCGGAAACUGCAUCGGAUACUAUCCGGCUUGAGGAUUGGAGGGGAGACUGGAAUUCUCGGUGUAGCAGUGAAAUGCGUAGAUAUCGAGAGGAACACCAGUGGCGAAGGCGAGUCUCUGGACAAUUCCUGACACUGAGGCACGAAAGCUAGGGGAGCAAAC